rnacentral:rRNA from 1 species
GUGGGGAAUAUUGCACAAUGGGGGAAACCCUGAUGCAGCAACGCCGCGUGAGUGAUGACGGCCUUCGGGUUGUAAAGCUCUGUCUUCAGGGACGAUAAUGACGGUACCUGAGGAGGAAGCCACGGCUAACUACGUGCCAGCAGCCGCGGUAAUACGUAGGUGGCAAGCGUUGUCCGGAUUUACUGGGCGUAAAGGGAGCGUAGGUGGAUAUUUAAGUGGGAUGUGAAAUACCCGGGCUCAACCUGGGUGCUGCAUUCCAAACUGGAUAUCUAGAGUGCAGGAGAGGAAAGGAGAAUUCCUAGUGUAGCGGUGAAAUGCGUAGAGAUUAGGAAGAAUACCAGUGGCGAAGGCGCCUUUCUGGACUGUAACUGACACUGAGGCUCGAAAGCGUGGGGAGCAAACAGGAUUAGAUACCCCAGUAGUCC